GAUGAACGCUGGCGGCGUGCUUAACACAUGCAAGUCGAACGAAGAUGCCGGAGUGCUUGCACUUUGGCAGACUGAGUGGCGGACGGGUGAGUAACGCGUGGGUAACCUGCCUUAUACAGGGGGAUAACAGUUGGAAACGACUGCUAAUACCGCAUAAGCGCACGGUAUCGCAUGAUACAGUGUGAAAAACUCCGGUGGUAUAAGAUGGACCCGCGUCUGAUUAGCUUGUUGGUGAGGUAACGGCCCACCAAGGCGACGAUCAGUAGCCGGUCUGAGAGGAUGAACGGCCACAUUGGGACUGAGAUACGGCCCAGACUCCUACGGGAGGCAGCAGUGGGGAAUAUUGGGCAAUGGGGGAAACCCUGACCCAGCAACGCCGCGUGAAGGAAGAAGGCCU
rnacentral:rRNA from 1 species